AACGUAGGAGGCGAGCGUUAUCCGGAUUUACUGGGCGUAAAGCGUGUGCAGGCGGUUUGGUAAGUCGGACGUGAAAGCUCCUGGCUCAACUGGGAGAGGCCGUUCGAUACUGCCAGACUUGAGGGCAGCAGAGGGAGGUGGAAUUCAGGGUGUAGCGGUGAAAUGCGUAGAUAUCCUGAGGAACACCAGUGGCGAAGGCGGCCUCCUGGACUGUCCCUGACGCUAAGACACGAAAGCUAGGGGAGCAAACGGG
rnacentral:misc_RNA from 1 species